GUCAUAUACCACUGAGAGAGCCAUCUUGAUUCACCAAUUGACUACUGAUUAAGAACUUGUGUUUUACAGAAUUUCAUACUGUUAUGUCCUGCUUAUUUAACCUGGAAAUGUCUCUGUUCUCCUCAACUGUACGUAUUAUAGAGGCAUUUUAGUCUCACUUGAAAUUCAGGAGGUUUAUUGGGAGCACCCUUGUGUGCUUUUGUUGCAAAUGUGGGGAGUAUGUUUUAUUCAUUUUUUUCUCUCUUUUUUUUAUUUUUUUAUUUUUAUUUUUAUUUUUAUAGUUCUUUGGCAUUUCAUUUUAGAGAUAGAUGCUGAUUAGGAAUAGUAUUGAUACCUGAUUUGUUGGAACUCUUCUUAUUUCCUUCUAAUGAUUAUACAUUGUUUCUAGCUAACCAAUCAAAUGGGUAGGAUCUUCCAAUCUAUGGGCAUUUUGUAUGCCUCCCAUCGACAGAGGGUCCAUCAGAUCAAUAGUCUUCCUACCAAAGACCAUAUUUUUCAAUGCACUCUGUAUUGUUGAUGCAGUUACAUCUAAUACUAGAAUAGUAAAUGUUUUUCACAGGCUUAAUUCUGAUGUCUUUGUCUAGCUGCUUAUUCAUGCAGGUCCUGUGGUGUGGUGGGACAUAAUCAAGAUUUCACUCUUUAGAAUCGAAGAGGUAUUUUAGAAUGCUCAGGUGGAGACUUUACAUAGCAUGUUUAGGUUUUCAUAUUGUAAAAGCGGGUAUGAGAGUUUAAGUGUGAACCAUUGCUUUAUUUUCUUUCUUAAACUGUCUAUUUUUUGAGGUUUACUAAUUUUCCUUCUGGGAGAUUUUCCAGCAAGGCCCAAGGUAUUAUUGGUGGACUUUUGUAACUCUCCUAUCUUGCCACUAAACUAUAAUCCAAUGCCAAUCCAGAGUGAUUUUUUUUUUUUGUAGCCCAUCUAUGAUAUAAGUAUUGGAAAGGAACGAAACUAUAAUUUGGAAACAUCAUUCAUUUUGUUAUUUCUUCUUGAUUAAACGGAAUGUUUGCAAUUCAAUUCACUUGUGCAUCUCUGUCAUGCUGACUAUAAUACACUAUUCACAUAAUCAAGAGUACGGGAGCAUUUCUCUUAUCUGUAGAUAUUCGAUAAUAUCUUUGAAUUCCUUUUGUCCUCUUAUCUUCAUAUUCUAAGAGGUUUUCUAUUCUUGAAACUGUGGCAAAGGUUAGGUCAUGUGUUGUGAUGCUGGACCUCAAAUUUGAUGCUUUGAUUCUUGAGAUGUUCCAUCAUUUUCUCAAAGCAAUAAGGUAAUAAGUUUAACUCGAUGCCAUCUUCUGUCUUUUUUAUUUGGAAGAUCUCUCACAAUAUUAAAUUAUGUAACAUUAUGUACCUGCAAAUUUAAAUUUUAACACAAACUCGUUGUAGUAGGAUGGCUUAUGACCACGACAUAAUGACAACAAGGAAUUCUACAUGCCUAUAAACCUUGUAUCUGGUUGUCCUUGGUUGUGAUGCAGCAAAGGUUAUCACCGACAGAGACCCUGGGAGGUAGAGGGGAUUUGGGUUUGUGAAUUUCGCCAGUGAUGAGUUUGCCGGUAAUGCCUUAUCUACAUGGAUGGUGAGAACUAUUUUGUAUUUACCCCUGAUGAUUAAUGGUGCGCAUUCAACAAUUACUUUAAAGACAAGGAACAUCUAUCUGAUCACAAUGCACAACGUUGCAGGCCGCAGACACACACAAUCUCAUUCAAUUUUGCAAGGCUCCCUUCAUCAUUCUAUGAUAUUCUUCGCGAGGAGUAGAACGGCUAUAUGGAGCUCUUUCUGCUCAUAUGUGGCCAGGGAUGAUUUGCAAGGUGUAGAGAUGAACUUUUCUUUGUUUCUACCUUACCUUUUCUUUUUAUUUCUUUUUCUUUGGUUUUUUUUUUUUUUGAAUUCUUUCUACCCUUCCAACAUAAUUGUGUAACCAUAUCUGAGAGACAUGAUGGCACUUGUAAGAGCUUGUAAGAUAUAAUACUCUCUCAUUAUGCAUGUAAUUAAUUAAGUGUGAUGUAUUACUUCUAUUAUUCUUUA